rnacentral:misc_RNA from 1 species
GAUGAAGAACGAGCGAAAUGCGAUAAGUAAUGUGAAUUGCAGAAUUCAGUGAAUCAUCGAAUCUUUGAACGCACAUUGCGCCCCCCAGUAUUCUGGCGGGCAUGCCUGUUCGAGCGUCAUUUCAACCAUCAAGCCCUGCUUGUGUUGGGGUCCUGCGGCUGCCCGCAGGCCCUGAAAACCAGUGGCGGGCUCGCUAGUCACACCGAGCGCAGUAGCACAUCUCGCUCAGGGCGUGCGGCGGGCUCCAGCCGUUAAAGCACCCACCUUUCGCAAGGUUGACCUCGGAUCAGGUAGGAAUACCCGCUGAACUUAAGCAUAUCAAUAAGCGGAGGA